rfam:Fukomys damarensis contig112550, whole genome shotgun sequence.
UGGGGUGUGGUUUAUGGUAGAAUGCUUACCUAGCAAGCAGGAGGCCCCAGGUUCAAUUCCUAGCACUUCAG